rnacentral:lncRNA from 1 species
AAAAGUUGUUAGCAUGCUCCGGAAUUUUUCUUUCCAAGAGAGCUCAAAGCACACCUCAGCCGUUAAACCAAUCAGCAUGCCUUACAGCGUAAGAACAAUGAUACGAAAUAACCAAAGAACUGUGAACAUGGAAUGUUCACUUCACUUGUGAAAGAAACAUGACAAAAUUUAAGUAGCUACUUUCCAUUAGCACUUGCAUGCUUGUCAUGCUUAUGGAAGGGCCAGAGAUUAACAAGGCGCUCAAGGACUGCUGCACUUUUUGAGAAGUAGCCUGAGAAUCCUGCAGGGGUGGAAGGUGG